rnacentral:lncRNA from 1 species
UUUUUUUUUUUUUUUUUUACAUUUGCCAUCUAUUUGUUUUCACUAUUUAUGCUUUCCUGUGGAUUAAUUGAAUACAUUUAUUGCCUGUAUCUCCCUUGUGGGCUUAUUGACUAUACCUCUAGGUAUUGGCUAUACCUUUCUAUUGUUAUUUUCAUUAUUGCUAUAUGUUUCAUUUAUAUUUUUUAAUUUAUCAAAAUCUACCUUCAAGAGAUAGUAUACCUCUUCAUCUUCCCUAUGUUUUGAUACAUUUUGUUUUUACAUAUGUUAUAAUCCCCAGUCUACAUUUGUUAUUUGUGUUUAAGCAGUCAAUAUCUUUUAUGAAAUGUAAAUAUGAAGAAAAGUUAUACACACACAUAUAUAUGUACACACACACACAUAUAUAUCUCCAUGCAGUGACCAUUUCUCGUGCUGUCCAUUCCUUUUCGUGAAUCAGUAUUUCCAUCUACUAUCAUUUUCCUCCCACCUAAAGAACUUUCUUUAACGUUUGUUGUACUGAGGGUUUGCUGGUAAUUUUUUCAGCUUUUGUAUAUCUGAAAAUGUCUCUAUUUUGCCAUUCUUGCAAGACAUUUUUGCUGGGUAUAUAAUUGCAGAUUUAUAGUUGUUUUCUUCCAAGACAUUUUUGCUGGGUAUAGAACUACAGAUUUACAGUUGUUUUCUUUCAAGACAUUUUUGCUGAGUAUAGAAUUGCAGGUUUACAGUUAUUUUCUUUCAAGACAUUUUUGCUGGGUAUAGAACUACAGAUUUACAGUUUUUUCGUUUCAAGUCCUUUCAGGCAUUGUUCUAUAAUCUUCUCAUUUGUAUUUUUUCUGACAAGAAAUCUGCUAUUUUCCUUAUGUUUGUUUUUCUGUUGUUAAUUCGAGAAAAUAAUAUCUAUAAAUUUAGAAAGGAGAGGAGACUUUAUUUCUUGUAAAGGGCUACAGCCUGCAAAGUGGCCAUCUCACAGGCUGGGAAGAACAGCUUCCUGCCAAGACCAGAAAUGGGCACUUCCAAGUAGGAGGAAUUUGGGCAGCUGCUCUAUGCUGAAUCGGCUAGCUAAACAUACGUAUUCAACAGGUGACAGAAGGAGCUGUGGAAAUUCAUUAAGGGGGUCCUGACACAUGCAUAUGAAACAAACAUGCAUAUACAUAAAACCCAUGUUCACUUUGGAGUAGACACUUAACAUUUAAAUAUAUUACAAUUAAGCCCUGUACAUCAAAGGUUUUUUCAUGACAUGAAGGUGCUCAAGUGCUCAAUCUCUGUCAACCAGCCAAAAUCAGCCCAUGGUCUGUGGUCUUAUCUGGAGAAAGUUACUGAAAUCAGUCUCUUGUCAAAUCAAAGCCAGGGUCAUGGCUGGUGGAACAGGAGGGUCAGUUAGGCGGCGCCUGUGAGCUACAAAUUGUGUCACUAGGUGCUUAUCUCAAGGCCACUGCUAGUUUAGCUAGUAGAGAAAAAGAAAAACCUUGUGGCAGUGAAAACACAGUUGAUUGCUCAAGCGUAGAGUGUGUGACUUCACCCUUGCCUGGCUUGGUCUUAGGUCCUGUUUAUAAUUUAGUAUCUUAUUGCCACAGAUAAUCUGUUCUGUCAUUCUUAUGAUCUGUAUUUUAACAUUAAUGCUGGUCAGCUGUUGUAUCUAAACCAUAGAAGGGAGUGGUAUAAUGAGGCAUGGUCUGACCUCCCAUUUCAUUACGGCUGGGAACUCAGUUUUAGGUUUUUAUAGGGUUUCCUUGGCAGGAGGAUCCAUUCAGUUGGUAGAUUCUGUUUUUAGUUUAAAUUGUACCUAAUAUGUCUUAUUUUAUGUCCGCUUUCAUUAUUUUUCUCUUGUUAUUGAUUUUGAAUGUUUUUCUUAUGGACAGACUUGGUAUAAUUUUCUUCUUUUUGAUUUAUUUUGUGUGUGAGGUUUAUUGAGCUUCUUGAAACUGUGGGUUUAUAAUCUUCAUCAAAUAAGGAAAAUAUUUAGACAUUAUAUCUUCAAAUAUCUCUUCUCUCCCAUCCCUGCAGGA